UGGCUCUCUCGGGAAGCACACGGGAUUAACUUCAGGCUCCUGAUCAUCGUAUCAGAGUUAUGUCCCCUUGACGGUCGUCAGCGAGGACCAUGGGAAACCUUUUGUACCGCAACCCUGUUGAAGCCGAUGAUCGCCAGAAUCCUCCUGAGAUCAGAGCUGAAGUACAUAGAGAGCUGGAACAGGGGAGACAACCCACAUCCACAUCUACAACACAACAUGUUUAUUAUCAGUGCCCCAUGUCACAGACCAACAUCUCUAACGCCUCUAAUGUUGGCCUUGGGGAGAAGGGACAUGUUUCCCUUGGGGAGAAGGG